rnacentral:miRNA from 1 species
GUCUACAGCCAUACCACCCUGAACCAGCUUGAUCCCAUCUGAUCUCAGAAGCUAAGCAGGGUCGGGCCUGGUUAGUACUUGGAUGGG